rnacentral:rRNA from 1 species
ACGACGCUGGCGGCGUGCUUAACACAUGCAAGUCGAACGGAGCACCCUUGAUUGAGGUUUCGGCAAAUGAUAGGAAUGCUUAGUGGCGGACUGGUGAGUAACGCGUGAGGAACCUGCCUUUCAGAGGGGGAUAACUGCUCGAAAGGGUGGCUAAUACCGCAUGAGACCUGAGGGUGAAAGCGGGGGAUCGCAAGACCUCGCGCAAUUGGAGCGGCCGAUGCCCGAUUAGCUAGUUGGUGAGGUAAAGGCUCACCAAGGCGACGAUCGGUAGCUGGUCUGAGAGGACGACCAGCCACACUGGGACUGAGACACGGCCCAGACUCCUACGGGAGGCAGCAGUGGGGAAUUUUGGACAAUGGGGGCAACCCUGAUCCAGCCAUGCCGCGUGCAGGAUGAAGGCCUUCGGGUUGUAAACUGCUUUUGUCAGGGACCGAAAAGGACCGUGUUAAUACCAUGGUCUGCUGACGGUACCUGAAGAAUAAGCACCGGCUAACUACGUG